rnacentral:rRNA from 1 species
UACGUAGGGUGCAGGCGUUAAUCGGAAUUACUGGGCGUAAAGCGUGCGCAGGCGGUUUCUUAAGUUAGAUGUGAAAGCCCCGGGCUUAACCUGGGAACUGCGUUUGAAACUGGGAGACUUGAGUGUGGCAGAGGGGGGUGGAAUUCCACGUGUAGCAGUGAAAUGCGUAGAUAUGUGGAGGAACACCAAUGGCGAAGGCAGCCCCCUGGGUCAACACUGACGCUCAUGCACGAAAGCGUGGGGAGCAAACAGG